rnacentral:lncRNA from 10 species
AACCUUCCGAGUAGUUGGAGCUACAGGCGUCCGCCACCACGCCCGGCUAAUUUUUUUGGAUUUUUAGUGGAGACGGGGUUUCACUGUGUUAGCUAGGAUGGUCUCGAUCUCCUGACCUCGUCAUCUGCCCGCCUCGGCCUCCCAAAGUACUGGGAUUACAGAAAGAGCCAGAGCCAGAUGGCAACAGGAGUGAGAAAGGUAGAAGAUGAAUGAUUGAGGAUGAAAAUUCCCUCAAGAGAUUUUAUUUGACCAACAUCAAUUCAAUGAAAGCUGUGAUUAAGAGGUUUCACACGGAUGGAGCUGGAAGCCAUUAUCCUCAGCAAACUAACACAGGAACAGAAAACCAAAUAGCGCAUCUUCUCACUUACAAGUGGGAGCUGAACAACGAGAACACAUGGACACAGGGAGGGAAAAAGCAC